rnacentral:lncRNA from 1 species
UUGUUUUUGCUGUUUUGCCGUUCGGCAGCUUGUGACAGUUUUUCUUCUUUUGAUCAUAAUCUCUUUGGGAAAAUCCUUACUCAUUUUUUCUUUGAAUCCUGCAGGUUUCACUCAUGAUACCAAGUUUACUGCUUCUGGAAGUGUUUUGGUGAAGAGAGUGCAUGGAGUUGUCGUGGUCAACUGUCAUGAUGUUUUAAGCUUAUAUACUUUUUUAUUGUAAUGUCCUCAAGUCUUUAGAUCAUAGGCCAUGGCUGUGUGUAAAUCAUGAGGUCUACCAAU